UAGGCCUACGGGAGGCAGCAGUGGGGGAUAUUGCACAAUGGGGGAAACCCUGAUGCAGCGACGCCGCGUGGGUGAAGAAGCGCCUCGGCGCGUAAAGCCCUGUCAGCAGGGAAGAAAAUGACGGUACCUGAAGAAGAAGCCCCGGCUAACUACGUGCCAGCAGCCGCGGUAAUACGUAGGGGGCAAGCGUUAUCCGGAAUUACUGGGUGUAAAGGGCGUGUAGCCGGGCCGGCAAGUCAGAUGUGAAAUCCCAAGGCUCAACCUUGGAACUGCAUUUGAAACUGUUGGUCUUGAGUAUCGGAGAG
rnacentral:rRNA from 1 species